UCUGGUAAUGAUGGCAGAGAGGUCACGCCCGUUCCCAUACCGAACACGGAAGUUAAGCUCUCUAGCGCCGAUGGUAGUUGGGACCUUGUCCCUGUGAGAGUAGGACGUUGCCAGGC
rnacentral:rRNA from 1 species